rnacentral:rRNA from 1 species
GACGAACGCUGGCGGCGUGCUUAACACAUGCAAGUCGAACGGAAAGGCCCUGCUUUUGUGGGGUUCUCGAGUGGCGAACGGGUGAGUAACACGUGAGUAACCUGCCCUUGACUUUGGGAUAACUUCAGGAAACUGGGGCUAAUACCGGAUAGGAGCUCCUGCUGCAUGGUGGGGGUUGGAAAGUUUCGGCGGUUGGGGAUGGACUCGCGGCUUAUCAGCUUGUUGGUGGGGUAGUGGCUUACCUAGGCUUUGACGGGUAGCCGGCCUGAGAGGGUGACCGGCCACAUUGGGACUGAGAUACGGCCCAGACUCCUACGGGAGGCAGCAGUGGGGAAUAUUGCACAAUGGGCGGAAGCCUGAUGCAGCAACGCCGCGUGCGGGAUGACGGCCUUCGGGUUGUAAACCGCUUUCGCCUGUGACGAAGCGUGAGUGACGGUAAUGAGUAAAGAAGCACCGGCUAACUACGUG